CUAAGCAAAAUCAUGAAGAUGUCAUUAAACUUUUUAUCAUCAGAACAGUUCAAAUUAGACAAGGAAGUUGAAGAAUGAAGAAAGGUUGAUGGAUAGGUACAAAUCUAUGGAAAGAGGACAAUAUGAACUGUUAUGCGUGGUGACACAGGCCAGCUUUCAGUGAAACCUUAGAGAUGAGGAGCACAGUGAAAAACCUUGGUAGGAUUAGAGUGGAAGACGACAUUAGAAAAGCUAUGUCUGCAUCGUAAAAAAGGUAUGCCUUUAAUGUAAUUAUUGAUCUAUUAAUUAUUAUUUUCUUUAACAUUUACUUCUAUAAAAAUGAUGAAAAAGUUAGCAUUUCAUCUAGAUUAUAAAAAUGAA
rnacentral:lncRNA from 1 species